rnacentral:tRNA from 1 species
GGGGAUUUAGCUCAGCGGUAGAGCGCUUGCCUAGCAAACGGGAGGCCCUGGGUUCGGUCCCCAGCUCCG